rnacentral:rRNA from 1 species
AUUGAACGCUGGCGGCAGGCCUAACACAUGCAAGUCGAACGAGUGGCGGACGGGUGAGUAAUGUCUGGGAAACUGCCUGAUGGAGGGGGAUACCUACUGGAAACGGUAGCUAAUACCGCAUACCAUACACUUUUCCCAGAUGGGUUUCGCCUGUUGGUUGGUUAACGGAUAACCAAGUCGACGAUCCCUAGCUGGUCUGAGAGGAUGACCAGCCACACUGGAACUGAGAAACGGUCCAGAAUCCUACGGGAGGGAGCAGUGGGGAAUAUUGCACAAUGGGCGCAAGCCUGAUGCAGCCAUGCCGCGUGUAUGAAGAAGGCCUUCGGGUUGUAAAGUACUUUCAGCGGGGAGGCGUUACCCGCAGAAGAAGCACCGGCUAACUCCGUGCCAGCAGCCGCGGUAAUUC